rnacentral:rRNA from 1 species
GAUGAACGCUGGCGGCGUGCCUAAUACAUGCAAGUCGAGCGAACAGACGAGGAGCUUGCUCCUCUGACGUUAGCGGCGGACGGGUGAGUAACACGUGGAUAACCUACCUAUAAGACUGGGAUAACUUCGGGAAACCGGAGCUAAUACCGGACAAUAUAUUGAACCGCAUGGUUCAAUAGUGAAAGACGGUUUUGCUGUCACUUAUAGAUGGAUCCGCGCCGCAUUAGCUAGUUGGUAAGGUAACGGCUUACCAAGGCAACGAUGCGUAGCCGACCUGAGAGGGUGAUCGGCCACACUGGAACUGAGACACGGUCCAGACUCCUACGGGAGGCAGCAGUAGGGAAUCUUCCGCAAUGGGCGAAAGCCUGACGGAGCAACGCCGCGUGAGUGAUGAAGGUCUUCGGAUCGUAAAACUCUGUUAUUAGGGAAGAACAAAUGUGUAAGUAACUAUGCACGUCUUGACGGUACCUAAUCAGAAAGCCACGGCUAACUACGUG